ACAGUGGUGCUUCAGUGGUAGAAGCCUCACCUUCCAUGUGGUACAUCUGGGUUUGAUUCCCAGCCAAUGUG
rnacentral:tRNA from 1 species